AAGUCUUUGGCUGUUCCAAGGAACGUACAAGGGCAGGUUAUGACUGUAAAUGUUUUGUGUUCUCUGUGGGAGGUGUGGUUUUGGGCUUGAGGGUGGGCAGGCAUUUUCAUCGUUUAAACCAGGUGUACCCAGGCAAGAGACUGUUAGCAAAGGAAUGCUUGUGUGUGUAUACCUGUGUAUAUGCCUCUGUGUGUGUGUGUGCGUGUGUGCAUACGCACCUGUAUGUUGGGGCUGAAGGUGGUUAGGAUUAGUGGUAGGUGGGGGUAUAAAUGAUACAGAAAUGUUUAAAAGUCUUAUGUGUGCAAUGGAUGAAGAAUGGGGAGGAGAGAAAGCUUCCAGCCCAGGAGCAGAAGAAAAUUCUCCUCUGCAGCAAAAGCCACAGAGACCCUGUCCAAAGACAAGGCACCGUCUAACAGCAGUUUUGACUUUUGUCAAAUAUCAGCUCUUCCGGGUGGGAGACGACUGGUAUUUUCUCUUCAUCCUUGGAGUGUUGAUGGCUCUUAUUAGUUUUGCGAUGGACUGCACAGUGGUCAAACUUUUCAAAGCCCACCGGUGGCUCUACGAGCAGCUAGAUGGCAACAAUCUUUUGCAGUACGUGUCUUGGAUUGUGUACCCUGUUGCCAUGACAACGUUCUCCACCGGUUUCUCUCAGUGCUUGUCGCCACAGUCAGGAGGUUCGGGGAUUCCGGAGCUGAAGACAAUCCUGACCGGAGUCCUUCUGGAGGAGUACCUGACCAUGAAAACCUUUACAGCAAAAGUAGUUGGUCUGAUAUGCUCCCUGGCAGCAGGGAGUACAAUCUUUUUAGGGAAAGUGGGGCCCUUUGUACACAUAUGCAGCAUGAUUGCUACUUACUUGGGAAGGAUCCGAACGACAGUCACCAGGGAUUAUGAGAAUACAAGCAAGAGGUACGAGAUGCUGGUGGCGGCAGCAGCUGUCGGGGUUGCCAGUUGCUUUGGCGCGCCCAUCAGCGGUGUUCUGUUCAGUGUGGAAGUGAUGUCUUCCCACUUUGCAGUGCGAAACUAUUGGAGGGGAUUCUUUGCAGCCACAUGCGGUGCAUUCAUGUUCCGACUGCUUUCAGUGUUCAACAACGAACAAGAAACCAUAAUUGCUCUUUUCAAGACAAAGUUUCAAGUUGACUUCCCGUUUGAUUUACCAGAAACUUUAAUCUUUAUCAUCCUUGGAAUCAUCUGUGGGAUCCUGAGCUGCGUCUACCUCUACUGCCAGCGCCGGCUGCUGCGUUAUGUCAAGGGGAACGCUUUCAUCCAGAACUUCAUGGCAACUGAGAAAACUAUAUAUUCUGGAGUUAUGACCUUAUUCUUGGCAUCCAUUACCUUCCCUGCUGGACUGGGGCAGUUCAUGGCAUCCAGGCUCAGCAUGAAGGAACUUCUCUCCUCGCUCUUCGAUCAUCGGCCGUGGGGAGUGCUUUCCCAGAACACAACACUUAACAUUCACACAAGAGUGGAUCCUGACAACCUCUGGAUUGACUGGUGUCACCCGACCUUCACUUUCUACGGCACCUUGCUCUUCUUCUUAUUCAUGAAGUUUUGGAUGUUGAUUCUUGCCACCACCAUGCCAAUGCCAGCUGGAUACUUCAUGCCCGUACUUAUAUAUGGUGCCGUUAUCGGUCGAACUGUGGGAGAACUGAUGGCUUCUAUAUUUCCUAAUGGCAUCAAGUCGGAAGGUGUAUUGAACCCAAUAAUCCCGGGGGGAUAUGCCCUUGCAGGAGCAGCAGCAUUCUCUGGAGCCGUGACCCAUACUUUGUCCACAGCGCUACUGGUGUUCGAGCUCACUGGCCAGAUAGCUCAUGUUCUGCCUGUUUUACUGGCUGUACUUGUGGCAAACGCCAUCGCACAGAAAUUGCAACCUUCGUUCUACGAUGGAACCAUCAUUGUGAAGAAGCUGCCGUAUUUACCCAGAAUACGAAGCACUGAUGUUGGCUCUUACAGUGUGACGGUGGAACAGUUCAUGAACACCAAGUUCAAGUGUGUGGAUCCAAGCAGCAGCUGCAGAGACAUUUUGCAAGUGAUAACCUCCAGCUCCAAUGCCGUAUAUCCUGUAGUUGAGAAUGCAGAGUCCAUGGUGCUCGUGGGAUCCGUUCAAAGGAGUGAACUUACCAAUUUUCUUCAGACUCAAGCAGAACAGGAAAGCCAUGAAGAAAAUUUGCCACUGAAGGAAGUGAAUGGAAACCCUAAGGGAAAAUGGCAUAUUGAUCCGAUAACCUUCCAACUCUCUCCAAGUACAUCACUACAUCAGGCCCAUAAACUGUUUGAACUUCUUGUCCUUCAACACACGUUUGUCAUUUCGGCAGGCAGGGUUGUUGGCUUUGUAACCAGAGAUGAGCUAAAGAAAGUGAUUGAAGACCUGGCAAAUGGGCGCAUCCCAGUCAAGUCGUAGUUACCGCCGAAGGGAAGAAACAUGUGCUAUUUUUUCAGGCCAUCCUGCAAUCUUGUGCUGACAUUAUUUUAACAAGACGUUCCGUGCAGUACACAGAUGUUCACUACUGGUAAACACCCAAAGGUCGUGUGUCCUCACAAAUACACAAUUACAUUCCAAAACAUUUAAAUAUACACUGAUUCCUACAACAAAAUGAGUUGUGAACCAUCACUAAUAUAAAAUAUUUUAAAAAUUAAAUGAUAAGAAUUAGGCAAGUUGCCUAAUUAGUUUUUUUGGUGGGGGGGGGGAACUAUAAUAAUUUAAUUUUAACAUUCAGUAUGAAAAUUUCUUGUUUUCUAAGAAAUUUGCUUUACAUAAGGAAAGGUGAAGUUAGAACUGAUGUCAAAAGCAAAUUAUGGUCUACCCCUGCCCAGGGUCUGCUGAACUGUUAUCACUUAAACCCAAGUUAGUCCAUCCUUCAGAUUGGCAGAUGGUAAGACACCUGACCAGGGCUGAUUACCCUCAUUGUGCCUUUCAUGUUAUGUCCGUCUGUGUUCAAAUUGGGAUUGUACAAUGCAAGAUUCUAGUUCACAAUCAUCUGUCAGUCCACUCCUUGUUGAACUAGUGUGAUUUUAUACUGUCAUCUCCUUUGUUUCCUAACUCCUAGUUUCUCAGUAACUGUGUUUGAAACAUCAUUCAGCCCUUCUGAGGCACCUGUAGCUCCAGUCACUCGCUUGUGCCUGACGUUAAUGGCUCUAUCACUGGUGGCUCUGCAUUCAGUUUCCAAGCUUUCACUCACCCGACCAUUUCCUUACAAAUAUUUGGCCUGAAAGUACGUUUCUGAAAACCCUGAGACAUUCUUGCUGCAAUAGUGGUUGGACAUCGAUUAAAUGGAGGGGCCAUAGUUCCCUGAGGGAGGCAACACCAGUAGCUAGGUGCUGAAGAAGACGUAUUGCAUUCUUGUCUUCCUAGGUCAGGGCAUAUAAAAGUUGGAGCAUUUGUUGCAACUUGCAUUGGAGUAUUGCGUCGACUUACGGUCAUAUUACAGGAAGGAUAUGGUUACAUCGGAGAGAGUGCAGAGGAGAUUUGCCAGGAUGUUGCCUGGAAUGGAGGACUCUAGUUAUGGGAAGAGAUUGGAUGGGUUGGGCUUGGCCCUGGAUUAAAGGAGACUGAGGAAAGAACUGAUAGAGGUAUAUAAACAAUGAGAGGCACAGACAGGGUAUAUAGUCAGAUUAACGCGCACAAGAUGCUGGAGAAACUCAGCAGGCCAGGCAGCUUCUAAGGAAAGGAAUAAACAGUCAACGUUUCAGGCCGACAUCCUUCAUCAGGACCGGAAAGAGGGAAGAGGGAGCCAGAAUAAGGGCGGGAAGGAGCACGAGCCAGAAGGUGAAAGGUGAAGCGAGGUGGAUGGGAGGGGGAGGAAGCUGGGAGGUGAUUGGUGGAAAAGGUAAAGGGCUGAAGAAGAAGCAAUCCGAUAGGAGAGUGGACCAUGGGAGAAAGGUAAAGAAGGAGGGACAUCAGGGAGAGGUGAUGGGCAGUUGACGAGAAAAGAAGAGGCAAGUGGAAAAGCGGGCAGUCGUUCACCUCCCGGCAGUUGCAACCCCCAUCAGUCUAACAAGUGUUUCCUUGCUGUUAUUACAAACGGAGCAAGCCCCACGCACUUUCGGAGAGUGAUCUCUGUCAUCAGCAGACGGUGCUACCUUUCUGCCUGAACCCACAACAGAACGCACAGCCUGUGCGUUUUCAGAUGUGACAUUCCAGCUGCCUCUUCCAAACCAUCCCACCUUUUCCCCAAAGCGUUCACAUCUUAGAUUCCACGUACAUUCCACACGACAAAGACAAAAUAGUAUCACGGCUGCCUCUGAGACAUUGACCACAUGUCCUCGUGACAAUGUUUUAUGCAUUGCGUGACCGGGAGGAAUAACACAUCAUUCAAAGAGCUAUUGGAUGAAUAAUACCUGAGGGGGAAAAGUGCAUCUAAAAACUGAAAAGAAGAACAGCAACAUAAACCUUUUCUUUUUUAAUACUUCACCAGAGGGCUGGGCCAAGUUUAGAUAGAGCUGUAAUGUUAAGAAUAAGACAGGCGAUAAAUCCUUAUCACCAAAGUGGGGUGCUCUGUAUCACCACAGUGUUAUACUCGAGCAAAGCGAGGACAUUUUCUAGUUUUC